CUUGUUUGUCCCAAUACUGUUGCCGUACCACAUCUGCUUAAAAAGGGGCUUCAGGUGAAUCGUUCGUUUUGGCGGGAAGUGGUGACGUCAUCAGCAACGGCGGACACAGUUGAUCCAAUUCCAGCCCGCCCAAAGAGUGACAACAGCACAGUACCGAACAAAUGAUAACAGUUCAAAAGUCUGCAGUGAAAUAAACAGAUGGAGGGAGCAGAGGGCGGGAGAGAGCUACGGAAGGUCUGCAGUUCCUGAUGUCUGGAGUCACUCCUGGAGAAACUCAAGAUGGAUAAAGUCUGGAUAUAGAAGACAUGGGAUCCGGGGCUAGUAAUGUGAGGGCCUGACGGAGCCAGUGCUUUCUCCUUCUGUUAAUAUUGCGUGGAUUUGAUAUUUCAAUUAUUUUCUGUCUUGUCCCCUUUAGGGGAGAGAGAUUUUUUCAUGCCGUUACUGUG